UACGGGGGGAGGCAAGCGUUGUUCGGAUUUACUGGGCGUAAAGGGCGCGUAGGCGGUCAGCACAAGUCAGUUGUGAAAUCUCCGGGCUUAACUCGGAAAGGUCAACUGAUACUGUGCGACUAGAGUGCGGAAGGGGCAACUGGAAUUCUCGGUGUAGCGGUGAAAUGCGUAGAUAUCGAGAGGAACACCUGCGGCGAAGGCGGGUUGCUGGGCCGACACUGACGCUGGAUGCGCGAAAGCCAGGGGAGCGAACAGG
rnacentral:rRNA from 1 species